rnacentral:rRNA from 1 species
AACGAACGCUGGCGGCAUGCCUAACACAUGCAAGUCGAACGAGAAAGCCCUUCGGGGUGAGUAGAGUGGCGCACGGGUGAGUAACGCGUAGGUGACCUACCGCUUGGGCGGGGGAUAACUCGGAGAAAUUCGGGCUAAUACCGCAUAACAACAGUUAAUUUUGAAAGUAACUGUUAAAAGCAUGCCUCUACUUGUAAGCAUGCACCGAGUGAUGGGCCUGCGUUGCAUUAGCUUGAUGGUGGGGUAAUGGCCUACCAUGGCUUCGAUGCAUAGCUGGUCUGAGAGGAUGAUCAGCCACACUGGAACUGAGACACGGUCCAG